CAGAGAUCCCUCCACAUACUGCUCAUGCAGUUUCUGACCUAGAGAUCUCUCUACCCACUGCUCAUGCAUCUUUUCACCCCGAGAUCCCUUCACAUACCUCACAUACAUUUUUUGAUCCUGCUCAUCUUUCAUUUACUCCACCAUCCUUUGAUCUCGGCCCUGAUUUCAGUCAAACCCCUCCUGUCAUGCACACGCAAUCCCCAUCGUACAACAUUGGUCAUAUAGACCAUGUACCGCCCCAUAGUCACUCCAUGUCAUUCAUGCCCACUCCUAGACUGCAUAUAGAUCCCAUGAGUACGGGCACUCACAUUUCAUUUGCUACACCCUCCUCCCCCGCAGUUGUAGGAUCUUCAGUUGUUGGGAGUCAAGCAAAACAGCCAGCUGUGCAUGUUGAGAAUGAGCAGGUUGUUGGGUUACAGUCACCCCUACCAGGUCGACCUAAACGUACAAUAAAAGCACCUCCUUGUGGGACAGGUGGUCACAAAGCAGGACACAACACUGGCCCCACGCAACGUGAGGAGCCUCACGAAGGAGAUGCAGUACCCCCUCCCCCACAUACCAGACACUAUACGAGACAGCAUAAGCGUAAAAUGCAUUAGGAUUAGCAUCCCAUAGAGGGAUGGAUGGUACUGGUUUGGGACUUGUUCUGCACCAUAAAGCUCUUGGGAAGUAAGUCAUAUUAC